rnacentral:rRNA from 1 species
UACGUAGGGGGCAAGCGUUGUCCGGAAUCAUUGGGCGUAAAGAGCGUGUAGGCGGCUCGGUAAGUCCGCUGUGAAAGUCCAGGGGCUCAACCCUGGAAUGCCGGUGGAAACUGUCGAGCUAGAGUCCGGAAGAGGCGAGUGGAAUUCCUGGUGUAGCGGUGAAAUGCGCAGAUAUCAGGAGGAACACCAAUGGCGAAGGCAGCUCGCUGGGACGGUACUGACGCUGAGACGCGAAAGCGUGGGGGAGCAAACAGG